AAAAAAGUUUUAUAUUUGUUUUAUAAUAUAGCAGAAAGAAACAUAAAGAAAGAAAUUUCCGACGUUUCCGUGUUGACAUUGAGUUAUAUCAACACGGUCACGGGCUCUUAGCCAAUCAGCAUUCAGAAUUUACAAAUGCUAUAUUAUAAUCCUUUCUAUUGCAUUUCAACCAUUCUAUAUAAAAUCUGUCCAUCUCAGUCCCAUCCAGUGCAUUCUAUUCUCGGUUCUAUUCAGUGA